rnacentral:rRNA from 1 species
UACGGGGGGGGCAAGCGUUGUUCGGAAUUACUGGGCGUAAAGGGCUCGUAGGCGGCCAACUAAGUCAGACGUGAAAUCCCUCGGCUUAACCGGGGAACUGCGUCUGAUACUGGAUGGCUUGAGGUUGGGAGAGGGAUGCGGAAUUCCAGGUGUAGCGGUGAAAUGCGUAGAUAUCAGGAGGAACACCGGUGGCGAAGGCGGGUCUCUGGGCCGAUACUGACGCUGAGGAGCGAAAGCGUGGGGAGCAAACAGG